rnacentral:rRNA from 1 species
GAUCCUGGCUCAGGAUGAACGCUGGCGGCGUGCCUAACACAUGCAAGUCGAACGGAGUCGUUUUGGAAAAUCCUUCGGGAUUGGAAUUCUCGACUUAGUGGCGGACGGGUGAGUAACGCGUGAGCAAUCUGCCUUUAAGGAGGGGGAUAACAGUCGGAAACGGCUGCUAAUACCGCAUAAAGCAUUGAAUUCGCAUUGUUUUCGAUGCCAAAGGAGCAAUCCGUCUUUUAGAUGAGCUCGCGU